GGGGAGGAAUAAAGACAAUGUAACUCCAGUAAUAGAAAUAUUAGCGUUUGUAAUUGCAACAUAAGUCUGAGGCUAGUCGCUGUCUCAAGAUUGACAGCCUCGUAAAUAUACGCAAGACAUAUAGCUCCAACAAAAAUUGUAAAUAUCCAACAGAUGGGGCUGAAUUAUACUAAGUAAAUUUACAGGUUUGGAUGUGCCCUCCCUAGAUGUAGCUUUAUGGGAAGAAUGCAAGAGCUCAGACUUCAGUAAAACGAGUUUUCUCAUUUAUGUUUGACGGUGAUCCUUCCCACAGCUCAGCUAGCUCCUUUCUCAUCCAUGAAAUGACAAUUAUCGGCCCCAAAGUUGAUGGUACCAAGUAUAGAAGUGCUGGUUGUGGCGAGUGAGUCAAAAUACCAGCUGCUAAGGCAGUAACCAGUCCAACGGAAUAUCCUGCUAGCGCAUACCAGAUGUAAAACCCCUUUGGAGAUGAUAUAUCCUCCUUUGGAGGUGGUAUAUCCAUGAUGCUUCCAGAGUCCUUGCUCUUUCUAUGGUCAAAACAGAGAACCAAUGCUAAAAGCAUAGAAGGAAUAGCCAUGUCGCCAAGACCCAGCAUCAUGAAAUCAACAGCAGCAUAUCCAGGCACUACACCACCCAGUAAGUUUCUAGGGAACACAAUCUUGACAGGCAACUCGAGUUUUUUGGUUAUCAACUGCAAUCCAGGAAGGCUCAAUCUAUUCGCCACUAUGUGUACAGGAUUCGAUGAUUGCUGGGUUGCUACAGACACCAUGACAUUUGCACCAAAGAAUCUCUCGGAAUAGAAAACCCAGAAUAUAUCAUAUACAAACAAGCAGCCAAGGAGCAUUGCACAAACCUUAAUGUUAGGAAGGCGAACAUGGCUCACAAACGCAAUACAAAGAGAGAUGCCCAGCAAAUUAUUCAGUAUCCAAUGCCCAGAGAGAAGCCACGCUAUAACCGUGCCAAUGCACAGCAACGUCAAAAGGCCUUGGAUCCUAGUAAAUGGCUUCGAACAACAGCGAGAUACGAAGGGAUCAGCUAAGCCAAAUCGAGACUUGAUUUGGGCAAUAUAAGGGAAAAGGCAAAAGUAAAGAGAAGAUGCUGAGGCAACUGCAGUGAACACAGUGAGGAUCUGUGAGACUGAAGAGAACAAAUAGAACAUCAUAAGCAAGCUGCAAGAGCUCACUACCGGGAUCAUAAGAGCCUGAGACCUGUCUAAGGUAAUUGAUGCUUCAGACCAAUCACGAUUUCUCUCCAUUUCUUUGCCAUAAUUUAAAGCCCGGAAGGCAGAUGCAAAUGACACAGCUAUGGCAGUCAGAAUAAGAGCGAUGGGUGCUGGUUCAAGCAAAUACACUAACUUCCAUAAAGACUCCAUUCUUAACAAAGUUGUACACUUCUCCUAGUGCUGCCUAUAAACACUUCCUUUCAGAAGUAUAAUAAUGUUAAAAAUCAAACACUUCUCCUUAUUUUCAUAAACUCCCAGAUUUUGCUUUUCAAAAGAUGCUUAAGGUCUCCAAACACCUCGUUCACCUACUGUUUCCUCUACUUCCUUCCCUUCCACUAUAUAGAAGUUGCUCCUUUACCUUGACCAAUCGUCACCGCAAUUCAAAUAAACCUUGGACUUGAUGAACUUGCCAGAACUCGUCUUUCUCCAACGCCUCAACGAUCCGGCCUGAUGAGGGUUUGCUUAUCGAACGUUUCAACCGGAGAAGAGAAGGCAAUUCUGUUCUCUGGAGAUUCAGUGUAUCAGUGUGAGUUGCUUU
rnacentral:misc_RNA from 1 species